rnacentral:rRNA from 1 species
GAUCCCAUCAGAACUCCGAAGUUAAGCGUGCUUGGGCGAGAGUAGUACUAGGAUGGGUGACCCCCUGGGAAGUCCUCGUGUUGCAUCCCUUGGAUGCGAUCAUACCAGCACUAACGCACCG